AAGAGAGAGUCAAAAGACCGUGAAACCGCUCAGAGUAUAAGCCAAUGGAGCUUGGAAGGCUUCCGCAGUUGUAGGCAUCAUACGUGGUGUCUAUCAGACCUUAAGCGUGGUUCGUCAGGCGGAGCAUUGAGUUGAAUUCUUAGUCCGACGUACGGGGGAACGGCGUGGGGCCCAAUGCUUCGGAGGAAGGGUCCCAGCCGUUUUCUUUAGCACGGACGUUCAGAGCUUUUGUGUCUUAUGCGGUGAUUGCCCACCACGGCACGUUGCGAGGUCACCCACAGGCUCAAACUGCCGAUCGCGCAUCCAGGACGAUGGCAACGAUGCGUAGUUGGGAGCUUGCUCCCUCACGCGUGUCUAGUCCUGGGUCGGGCGGCGACCGAGAUAAACCUGGUACGAUCCUCAAGCGACGAGCUGCUUUCUGGCCAGACCGACGCCCUGGCGCUUCCACUGUGCCGGAAGCGUCAAUGUCAGGCGGCGUGAUCCUGCUGCAUAUUGCAUGGUCUCUCGGCCAGGCGUCGUUGGUCUGAGUGGUGUCAAGUCCAGCACCAUCGGUCACGUCUCGAAACACGGGCCAAGGAGUAUAGCAUGUGUGCAAGUCUAAGGGUCUCCCAAAACCCGAAGGCGAAGUGAAAGCAAGACUGUGGCGGGGGAGCUACGGCGAACCCGCCGGCCUGGUGCGGCGCUCGCGUCGCCCGGCUUAUGGCAGAGCUGAUCCUGUUUUCACGGUUGAUUCUUGGUGCAGGCGCAAGCUCCGGGCUCACGUACAACACCGGUCACGCCUCGUGCGCGGCUGUGUUGUGAGCACCGUGAAGCAUGC
rnacentral:rRNA from 1 species